rnacentral:rRNA from 1 species
AGUGAACGCUGGCGGUAGGCCUAACACAUGCAAGUCGAACGGCAGCACAGUAAGAGCUUGCUCUUACGGGUGGCGAGUGGCGGACGGGUGAGGAAUACAUCGGAAUCUACUUUUUCGUGGGGGAUAACGUAGGGAAACUUACGCUAAUACCGCAUACGACCUACGGGUGAAAGCAGGGGAUCUUCGGACCUUGCGCGAUUGAAUGAGCCGAUGUCGGAUUAGCUAGUUGGCGGGGUAAGGGCCCACCAAGGCGACGAUCCGUAGCUGGUCUGAGAGGAUGAUCAGCCACACUGGAACUGAGACACGGUCCAGACUCCUACGGGAGGCGGCAGUGGGGAAUAUUGGACAAUGGGCGCAAGCCUGAUCCAGCCAUACCGCGUGGGUGAAGAAGGCCUUCGGGUUGUAAAGCCCUUUUGUUGGGAAAGAAAAGCAGCAGGUUAAUACCCCGCUGUUCUGACGGUACCCAAAGAAUAAGCACCGGCUAACUUCGUG